rnacentral:lncRNA from 1 species
GCGACUGAGUGAGUAUCGCAAUAAUAAGAACUCACAUUCUUAUAUCUGAUACAUAUAUUGGUAUAAAGAUUCUCCUGACAUCGCUAUAAUUAAUAUCGCAUUUUUGUCCAUUUAAAAAAAGGCAAUAAUAAAUGCACGCAAUAAUUUCUGAAUUUAAAGUGGAUCAUUUAAGUGACCAAAUCGUGAUGCAUUGGAUUGACAAUACCUCCUUCUAUUGAUUGUUAACUGAUGGUUUUCCUAGCUGUUUUUUUUUCUGAAAGAAAUUACAUUUAUUUUAUUUCAAGCAUUUAUGAAGGGUUGUCAUAUCUGUGCUAGUAACCUCUGUCUUUUCUAUUUGCUCUGCUAGGUCUGCAUAAAUUGAGUCUUUUCGAAGGGCUUUGAGAAAUUCAUUAAAUCC